rnacentral:rRNA from 1 species
GACGAACGCUGGCGGCGUGCUUAACACAUGCAAGUCGAACGCUGAAGCUCAGCUUUUGUUGGGUGGAUGAGUGGCGAACGGGUGAGUAACACGUGAGUAACCUGCCUCCUUCUUUGGGAUAACGCCCGGAAACGGGUGCUAAUACUGGAUAUUCACUGGUCUUCGCAUGGGGGUUGGUGGAAAGGGUUUUUCUGGUGGGGGAUGGGCUCGCGGCCUAUCAGCUUGUUGGUGGGGUGAUGGCCUACCAAGGCUUUGACGGGUAGCCGGCCUGAGAGGGUGACCGGGCACAGUGGGACUGAGAUACGGCCCAGACUCCUACGGGAGGCAGCAGGGGGGAAUAUUGCACAAUGGGCGCAAGCCUGAUGCAGCGACGCCGCGGGAGGGAUGGAGGCCUUCGGGUUGUGAACCUCUUUCGCUCAUGGUCAAGCCGCAACAAUGGUUGUGGUGAGGGUAGUGGGUAAAGAAGCGCCGGCUAACUACGUG